GAUGAACGCUGGCGGCGUGCCUAAUACAUGCAAGUCGAGCGAACGGACGCGAAGCUUGCUUCUCUGAUGUUAGCGGCGGACGAGUGAGUCACAAGUGAAUUACCUAUAUAUCAGACAUGAAUAACUUCGAGAGACCGGAGUUCAGACCGGAAAAUAUUUUGACCUGGGUGGUUUUAAAGAGAAAGACGGUCUUUCUAUCAACUAUAGGUGGAUCAGCGCUGCAUUAGCUAGUUGGUAAGGUAACGGCUUACCAAGGCAACGAUGCAUAGCCGACAUGAGAGGGUGAUCGGCCACACUGGAACGGAGACACGGUCCAUACUCCUACGGGAGGCAGCAGUAGGGAAUCGGCCGCAGUGGUCGAGAGCCUUGCGGAGCAACGCCGCGUGAGUGAUGAAGGUCUUCGGAGCGUAAAACUCUGUUAUUAGGUAAGAACAUAUGUGUAAGUAACUGUGCACAACUUGACGGUACCUAAUCAGAAAGCCACGGCUAACUACGUG
rnacentral:rRNA from 1 species